CUUUAGGGGACUGAGCCAGGGUGCCCCUGAAAGUAUAAGGGUAGUAUUCUGUACUACCCAUAUACCUACUACAUGGCCUGCAAUCGGGAGAGUCCAUGGUCCCAGCUGCAGGCCUGUUCCUUCCAAUGCCCCGCGGUCGCCGCCGUAGCAUUUCCACGUCGCCGCCCGCGGUUCUGGCCAACCCGCCCUCUGUCAGAUAGACAGCGGGACUUAGAUUAUAAAUAAUGAUUAAGAUUCCAUAUUAUGAAGUCGACUUCAUAUUACACGUUUCCGUCAUAUUUUCUUGUGUUAUUUAAGUACUCGAUGUGAGGUCAGCGGCCGCCUCCACAACUUGUAUUACUUCAUUCAUACUUAGGUUUAGGAAGUUUAUGUUAUCACUGUAUCAACAGUUAUGUACUUACUUUGUUACAACAUGCUUGACAUCCAGCAGGGCAGACUCUUGGCUCGGCUUAAAUUAUUAACGGUCUUACAAAUAAAUAUUGGUUUAAAGUUCUGAGAAUAAAUCAAGAAUAUGUAAAAUGUUGACUAGCGGCCGUUUUCAAUAACUUAUAACUCCUUAGUUUAACUUACUAAAGGUAGACAAAUCUAUCCUUCUACGCUUACUUGCACUUCAAUAACCUAUUGACAAUAAGCAUUGGACUAUAUUUAUAUUGGACAUAACUAUGGAUAGAUAACAUCUUAUCAUUAAACGGUGACAGCAAUGUAUUCGUAACUAGAGAUACAUUAUUGAAAACGGCCGUAUAUCGCUGACAACCCUGUCAAUACAAUGAUAAUUCUGAAGCUUUCUAAAUGCCAAGCAACAUUGCAAAUAAACGCGGGAAACGUUUUCGUCCGAAUAAACCAAUCAUAGUCAAAAUGUCUAUUCGUAAACAUGUUGCAUAUACUUGGUUUAUUCUCAGGUAUAUCUUUAUACCAAUUUUAUUUGUAAUGUUUAACUUAAAUGUAAUUUCUAAAUAUAUAUUUAUUUUAUAAGGAACAUAAUUUAAGACAUGGUCGCGGUGCUAAUUCAACGGGAGCUGGAUUGGAAGCUAAUGCGGUUUUUCAUCUCUUGUAUUUUUAAAAUAUUUACUUUUAAGAUUUUUUUGGAGUGUUGUUUUAUUAACUAACAUAUUUGUUUAAA